UGGAUCGCUCCCUCUCCGUCUCGCUCUCGUUCCACGGCAGACCCAGCCGAUUGGCGAUGAUCUUCUGCAUAUCGACCACGUUGAGCGUCUCGGAGUUGGCAACCUCGAUCAUGAUCACCACAUGGUAAUCGCGGGUAUUCUCCUUGAGCUCGUUGUUGAGCGUUUUGAGGAGCGUCGUCUUGCCCAUGCCCCCUAGCCCGUGGACGCCGAUGAUGCUCUUCUCCGCGUCGUCAAACCGGGAUAGGAGCUGGCUUAGGGCCGACUCCAUCCCGAUGGUCUGCGUUUCAAACGGCAGUUCCUCCACCGGCUCCGGUGGCGGCUCGUGGGUGAAGGGGGGAGUGAAUGCAUCGCCAUCUGACUUCAGCUUGUUCACGUCCUGCAGAUUCUGGACGACUUUCCUGGCGACUCGGUGACGGUGGAGCAGAUCCAUGUCGCAGCCACACAGGCAGGCGCAUCUCUUUGGUUCCUCGUGCUCCUGGUCGGCGUCGCAUUCCCGGAGUAUCUCCUCGACCUUCUUCUGCCACCGUCUGACAUCAGGAUUGCAGAUCCGCUGGUGAGCCUCCUCUUCCUCGACCUUGUCCUUCACUUUCUGUGCGGUGGCCCGUAGGUCGCUUAGCGCUUCCGUGAGAGAGCUCCGGUUCCGGCGGAGUUGAAAGCACGCGGUCAAAGUUUCCUUAAUCUCAUCAUGUACAGGAAUCAGGCAGGCCGUGCAUAAAGGUUGUGAGGCUUGGCAUGCAAGGGAGACGAGAUCGAACAUCGGAGAUGGAUUAGAGAAAAGAACACAGAAGAGAAAGACUAAAACCUCUCUCUAUAUGCAGCCUUUGCUGU
rnacentral:lncRNA from 1 species